rnacentral:rRNA from 1 species
ACUCCUGCGGGAGGCAGCAGUGGGGAAUAUUGCACAAUGGGCGCAAGCCUGAUGCAGCCAUGCCGCGUGUAUGAAGAAGGCCUUCGGGUUGUAAAGUACUUUCAGCGGGGAGGAAGGCGAUAAGGUUAAUAACCUUGUCGAUUGACGUUACCCGCAGAAGAAGCACCGGCUAACUCCGUGCCAGCAGCCGCGGUAAUACGGAGGGUGCAAGCGUUAAUCGGAAUUACUGGGCGUAAAGCGCACGCAGGCGGUCUGUCAAGUCGGAUGUGAAAUCCCCGGGCUCAACCUGGGAACUGCAUUCGAAACUGGCAGGCUAGAGUCUUGUAGAGGGGGGUAGAAUUCCAGGUGUAGCGGUGAAAUGCGUAGAGAUCUGGAGGAAUACCGGUGGCGAAGGCGGCCCCCUGGACAAAGACUGACGCUCAGGUGCGAAAGCGUGGGGAGCAAACAGGAUGAGAAACCCUGGUAGUCCCAUGAU